AGCAGAGGCGGGGAGGGAUGCGUACCCCUUUGGUGGACCCAAAGCUCUAGCCACCCCUCCUGGCCUCUGGCCCUGCAAGCACACAGGAGAUGCUUCACCAAAAAUUCCCUUGGGAAAUGCUGCAUCUGAGGGAUCCGUGCGCACACACAAAGAUCUCCUGCGAGUGCUGUAGUGUCAGGUUAGACUCCAGAGCAGAACAGCCUUUGCAGCCGCAGUGAGCUGGCUCUGUGAUUCAUUUAUCUCAUGACUUGGUGCUAGCAUCACAGCUACAGCUAUUUCAGGUCUAAGGAAGAACCACCCAAUAAAUAAAAGGAAUAAUUGGUAUUGAAGUAGCUAACUGGCAUCUCAACACUUCAACACAUCUACUUACAGUCACAUUUUGUGUUAGAGCUGAUUGCGUGGGGUCGCUAACGCCACUGUCUGCCUUCCUCUUCUCUUUGUGCUUUCUGCAAUGAGCAGAAAAACAUCCUGAAAUCGGAGGGGUGGUCUCUGCAAAUUACUUGCUAAAUUGAGCUGUGUUUUUGAAAUGAACUUUAAAAGUAAUCUGAACUUCUCUCCCAGCACUGCAAAAUUGAAAAUUAUAUUGAAUUUCAAAUUGUUGGGGAAGAAAGCAAACUGGCUUGUUCUGGGGAACAGAACUAUGGCUGCUAUAUGCUGUAAUCAUUAACAAUCCAUGUCAGACUUUUCUGGAAUCACAGUACUUUCCUGGAGGGGAGGAUGCUUUAUUUUUUAUGUAGAAUAUUUUGCAGUGGGCUGUAGUGCUGUCUUGAUGUGUUUGUAUGAUAUUUAGUUCUUCAAUAAUGCUCUUGCAAGAAAGAACAUACAAAGCCUGUUAUAGAUGCUGUCAGCCACAAAAACACCUGGAAAGAAGAUACUAUUUUUCAUUUCCCAGGUUAAAAGAGGUGCCACAAAACACAUGUUCAUCAAGAAGACUAUUAAAAAAUUCAUUUCCUACGGACACCAGCAUUGGACUAUUGAGGAGAUGGAGUACUGGGUAAUGAAUUGCACAGGCAGAAAAGUGUGCACUAUAAAAGGUGGUGGUAGCCAAGUGGUGGGGAUGGAAGACCUCCCCAGCCUCAUUCAUCACCUGGCUUUGGAGAGCACUUCGUUAAAGAUCCUCUGAGUGAAACAACUCUUUUGUUGGGAGAGGGAGGCUGAGAAGUGCAGAAGACAGAACCUUGUGGCAUCAAAGUGGGCUUUGUGCCCCAGUCGUCCCUAAAGAUUCGUGUGACUGUGGUGGCACCAGCUUCAGACCACGCACGCUGAGCCUGUCCUGGAUCCUGCCCAUCCGACCCCAAGAACUUGGCUGCUUUAUGGCACUCCCGCCGAGCCCCACGAGAGGCUGGAUCUUCUGCCAGGAUAAAGCCAGGAGCUCUAUUUUUAGGCAGAUGCCAGGAAGGUUUUUCGGAAACAUAUCACGGAGCAGCAAUCAUCGGAGCUGGGGAGCUGCCAAACAACCAUUUCCUAGCUCUCAUCCCCCAAGCGUGUAGGACCAGCAUGGCUCACUGUCUGCUGGUUUUUGUCUUAGCAGAGGCAGGCAGAGCCCUCUGCGUUGGACCGCUAGUCACUACAGAGCAUAUCUCCUGAAUGGCUGUGGCAAAAUUAAAAUAAUUCUAUUAUAGUUAUUCACCAGUGUACAUUACAUCUGGAAUCAGAGGUUGCUUUUCGUUCUUUACAAGGGGAAAACAUUGUAAGUGAACCUGUAAUUUUGAGUACGCUAAUUCCAAGACAUUUGCAGAUACUGAGUGGUUUCCUGGAAUAACAGCCUCUCUCAAGAGAAACGUCAAACACAUUUAAUCAGCCACAUUUAGAGCUCUGCAACAUCUGCAAAUGAAUUAUUAACGAUCUCAAAUGUUUUUGAAUGAUCCAAAAGUCAGGAAUAAUGUGGCUCUUCAGAUAAUCACCUCUGAUUCAGGCCUUCUCCUUUCCACUUUGUGCACCUGCUGCUCUCUGGAGUUCCUUGCAGCUCGGAUAAACCUCUCUGGAGGCACUUGGGUGGCAGAACAAAUGCAAAGUGCAGCUGCCAUCCAGCUGCAUCUGUACAGAUUUAUGCAUCGUGCAGUAAUUAGCCACUGACCAGUGUUGUGCACCUUUGGGGGAGGCAAGGGAUGCUCCAGGGAAUGCAGUUCCCACAUGCAUCUUCACUGCACAUGACUCUUGUCCGCAGAAGUCCUCCGCUCCCACCAUACUAAGUUCGAUCUAAGUGAUGGAAGACUGGUCUGGUUAUGGUUUACCUGGAAAAGCAGGUUUGAGUCAUGAAUCUUCUCGUUAGGUAGCAAGAGCAAGAGGGGCAGAAUAAAGCUGUAAAGCAAAGCACAGCUCAGGAUGCCCAGGUUCCAGCCUUGGCUUGCCCUUUGCUGUGUUAAGAAAAUCAUAGAUGGCUCACGUUGCUUUGCCUGCAGAACAAGGUAUCUUGUCAAGGGCUUUGAGAAAUACUAAUGACUGUCAUAUUAUAUGUGACUCAAAACACUUCCACUGCAACGUGGAAAUACCCUUUUAGAAAAAAAUAAUUGCAGCAGUCUAGUUUCUUCAGAUGAAGUAAUGUGGUUACAUUGCUUUUUGAAUCAACAAAUGUUCUCAUUUAAGAGCCCCAGCUGACAAAAUAAUGGAGCCAUCAAGAUACAGAUGUAAACAAAACACUUUGCAGUACCAUGUGAAUUAAGGCUAAACUGAAAAGGUAUUAACUCUUGUGGAUACCCACGCAGUGAAUUCUGGUAUGUGUUCAAAGAGCUCCUCAGGUCUUGAGGAAGGUGUUCAGCAGCUUGUUAUAUUCAGACCAAAUGCAGAAUUUCUAUUCAAUCUGCUUGUUGGGGAAGACCUGAAAUAUGAGGACACAAUGAUGUUUACUGUGGAUUUUAAGAGGAAGAUGUGAGCAGAAACAUUUUUCUUUGCUGGAAAAAAGCCACUGAUAAACAAAGAGUACAACCCAGCUGCAUCUGGGAUGCUGUCAAAUCGUAGCACAAAAGAGGAAUUAAAAAUCUAACCCUUACUUUGACCGAGUAAAAAUUACGGGGCGGUCACUUUAUUUUGCAUAUAAUUAUAAUAAUAAGCUUGAUAGUGUAUUUGUUAUGGAUUAUGUAUUCUGUGUGCAUUAUUAACAUGACUGUUUGUCCCACUGCACUCGUAAGGAAAACAUAAACCGCAGACAGAUGAAUACAGAAGCGGCUGUGGCUAUUAAGAGCAAUUAAGCAUUACAUGGCUCUCUGCAGGGGGUCGCUCUGGAGUGGUUUAAUGGAGCAGAUCUCAUGUUAUGAUGUACAUUUUGAUAACAUUGUCUUGCAUAUUCAGGUAUAACUACCUGCUCUUCUGCAGGAGCUUGGGUUGCAUAGCAAGAAACAGCUAUAGCUACCAAGAGGGUGCUGCCUAUUUAAUAUCUGCUCAUUUCAUUUCAAAGUGGAGUUGGAGAUUCAUUUGUUAGCAAUAAAGUACUUCACCGGGAGAUUAGCUAUCUAUUUUCUGUGGCUAGAAGAGGAAAGGAUAUUGACGUCACCUUUUAGCUUGAAAUCAGCUUGAAACUUCCACAUAGUUCUGUUACACAGUGUACUGUUCUGUUAUUUCAAGCUCAACAUCUCUUUUCUUGUUUAUGAAGAUGAAUCACAAACAAUAUGGCUUGCACACCUCAUGUGUGAGAUGGUCUUCUAAGAAGUGAUGUAUUUACUCAUACCAAGGUUUGGAUUUUCCAAAGCUUAUUUUCUUCUUGUACACAGUCUCUGAAAGAACCUUCCCUCCCACGCAUAGGUUUGUAUCUCUGUUUCUUUAGAUCUGAAAACAUUCUUGUAUCCAAAAUUUUCACUGAGCUCUCCUUGAAUAAGAUCCUGGAGGCAGCGUUUAUGCCAAACAGCUCCCUGGGGCUUUGGUCAGCUCGGGAGCCCAGGUAGCCCAGGGGAAAGGAGUGCUACAGGCUGUGGUAGGAUGAAACUAAGGAACUCAAACCUACCACCAGUCAUGCUUGAACGUGUUUCUUUUGUGUGGCGUCUUUUCUAGGCUCUCCACACACCUUGUACAUUAGGUAUAUUAUUGCCCGGUAGCAUAUUCAAGGAACAAUGGUUGAAACAGGGACCUGUGAACCUCUGUCCCAUUGGCAGAAUCAUUAUUUUAAAAAAAAUGAGAUCAACUAAAGAGGUAGGAACAUUAGUACCAUGUUAAAUUAAUAUAUGUUGUAAAACUUCAUCUUUUCACCCAGUCAGCCUCUUACAUUAACUUUCAAAAAAAAUCAAACUCCUCAAGCCGUAAAGUCUACAGGCUGAUGGUUUUGUUUUCCACUUGAAAGAAAUAUUGAAUACCCUCUGAGCCAAGUCCCUUUGGAAGGCUCUCAGGUCUGGGGACCUUCUGGGGCAUUGAGGAGGCUGCAGUGCCCCAUGUAUCAGCCCAAGGGAAAGAGGAGCACUGAGCCUGCUCACAGCGUGGGGCUGGCUGGGUUGUGGCAGAGGCCAUCCAAGCACAAUUUUAGGAUGAAGCAGAAGCGAAGGUUGGAACUUCAAAGCAUGUUCAUCUUUGUUUCCUCGGCGCUGGGAUGAGCUGCUGGGAUUCUGAACGGCUGCCUCCCAGCUGCCAUAGCAACGUGUUGCUCAGCCCUGCAUCGCAGGGGCAAGGGGGAUGCUCCUCCCAGCCUGUGGCUCAGCAGCUGCUGGGAGGGAAUGGAAAAGCUCCUUUUUAAAGCACCAUUGUAUGUCAUCAUUGAAGGAAAGAAAAGCAGCUAAAGGAAAAAAAAGAUUACUGUUGUCUUCACUGAGCUUUACCUGUGCCCUGCUAAAGAUUUUUAAUUAUUUGGUCUUGGUAUCAUGACGGUGUUUAAGUGUGUUGAACAGUGUGUUUGUGGCCACCACCGUGGAAGCUGUGAGUGCCCAAGGCCCCAUACAACCUCUGGCUGCAGCACACAGGUUGCGACCAUGUCCAGGAGCCAAAAUCCUCGUGCCUGGGAGGCUGCAGGAGCACAAGUCCUUCUGCAUGGUCCAACAUCACGUAGCCCUCAGUCCCUCGCUGAGCUCAGCCACGGGACAGCAGGCAGCAGAGUCUGUGCAACCAGCCUUUCCAAAAACUCAUGUCUUCUGGGAGAGAUGUUCUGCAGUGAUAAACAAACCACGCCUCACCUGAUGCAUGAAGGAAAGACCUGAAGUGGUGGGGAGAAGCCCUUGAUACAACCAGGAUACCCAGAGGCAUGCACAGCCAACACGGUGACACCAGGGGCUGGAGCCCUUCCCAGCAUCUCUCCCCUGCAGGACAUGGACACACGGCCUUGUUAAAUUAUGAAACUGAAGGCUUUUGCUGUGGCCCGAAGCAAGAGCUCUGCCUGAACUCCCCUCCUCUGUGAUUGCUCAGGGUAAUGGUGACACUGAAGAAGUAUUAUUUCUGCAGCCUUCGUACUUUGCUUUAUUAGACAUUGC